UUUAAGAUUGUAGGAUAUCCUCGAGAUUUAAACCAAAAUGGAGAGGAAAUAUAGGAAACGAUAAUGCAACCUAUAAAUGUAAAUGUACUCGCAGACAACAAUUCAAUCCCUAUUCAGGUUUACAAAGUCAGUUACUGAUACCCAAGAGAAUACAUGUCAACUAGGAAAUUGUGCUCUUACAAAGGAGCAGUAUGAUUAGCUUCUACAGAUGCUUAACAAGAUCUCUAUCACAGCUCCAACUUCUAUAGUCAAUGCAGCAGGUACUGAUAUUGAUAGGGCAAUGCUAGUGUCUAAAUCUUCUUAGGAAUGAAUCAUAGACACAUGUGCUACAAAUCACAUGAUCUCUGAUAUAAGUUUACUGAACAGGAACACAGUAGUUAAGACAAGUAAGUUAAAAUGAGUACUAUUACCAAAUGGUAAUAUAUCUCAUGUCACACACACAUAGUCUAACUCUAUUUUAGAAAGAAAUAAUAUAACAAAUAUGUUUCAUGUUCCUCAAUUUAAAUACAAUCUACUUUCUGUCUCCAAGUUAACAAAAGUAUUGUAGUGCUUAGCCAUGUUUUUUCCUUAUUUUUGUGUUUUUCAGGAUCUCUUCACUAGGAAGGUGAAGAAGAUUGGUAAAGAAGAAGCAGGGCUAUACCCUCUACAGGUGGAUGUUGAGAGAAG
rnacentral:lncRNA from 1 species